AACGAACGCUGGCGGCAUGCCUAACACAUGCCAGUCGAACGAGACCUUCGGGUCUAGUGGCGCACGGGUGCGUAACGCGUGGGAAUCUACCCUCAGGUUCGGAAUAACUCAGAGAAAUUUGAGCUAAUACCGGAUGAUGACGUAAGUCCAAAGAUUUAUCGCCUGAGGAUGAGCCCGCGUAGGAUUAGGUAGUUGGUGAGGUAAAGGCUCACCAAGCCGACGAUCCUUAGCUGGUCUGAGAGGAUGAUCAGCCACACUGGGACUGAGACACGGCCCAGACUCCUACGGGAGGCAGCAGUGGGGAAUAUUGGACAAUGGGCGAAAGCCUGAUCCAGCAAUGCCGCGUGAGUGAUGAAGGCCUUAGGGUUGUAAAGCUCUUUUACCCGGGAUGAUAAUGACAGUACCGGGAGAAUAAGCUCCGGCUAACUCCGU
rnacentral:rRNA from 1 species